UUACUUCCUGUACAGAGGUUCCACAUGCUGCUCUCUACUUUGUGCCACUGAAUGAAAGAUCAAUUUAUAUUCUUUUGAUUUCUGUCACAGGGUACGUAUAAGGUCUUGAUGUUAAGCUGAUGUAUUUUUUAUUGCUUACUAAACCCUCCUAAGUCCUAACUCAACCACUUGAAGUUAAACUGAAGUAUUAAUCAAUCUUGUUUGCUUUCUUGUACGUGUAUGCCUAAUUACCUUGCCCUAUAUGGCGAUCGAUGGCCAGCCAUAGAACGGUUCUGAUUUUUUAUUUAUUUUGUCAAGUUCAGUUCAUAUUUUUUUAUCCAUGUGGUGUUUAAACGAUGACUAUGUGGGGUUCAUAGAAAUUGUGAGGCAUAGGAUUGAUUCAAUCUCCAUUUUUUUUCCAAUUUGGUUCAGAGCUAUUACCUGCUACACCUACAGAUGUGAAAAGCUUACACUUUGCAAAUCCAAAAUUAAGCAGCAUAAUUUCUCACAGAUUAAUUAUAUACAAAUUGAGUGACAACUGCUGGGACAUGUGCUUCUUUUGACCUAUUAUCUUGCUUUUGCAUGAUUAAUGAAGGUCCAUAAGGCAGUUCUAUCUCUCUCGCUAACACAAUAAGUUUCUCUUUAACAAAAAAAUAAACAUAGGGCAGGAGCAUAGAUGGUGCACAGGAGAGCUGCCUUGUCAUUGAUAGAGGAAGUGUGAGAGCAUGCUAAUUGUGCAGGGAAGAGAAAUAAAAUGAAAACGAAAACGAAAAUGAGAAACAAAAGAGAAGAAUGUUAUGAUCUCAUGAUAAUGUCGGCCACCAGCCAGCACCCACAGGAGUAUACCUAUAGGCGGUCCAAAGAUUAUCUAGCUAGGUUGGUAAAAAGCAAGGCCGCCUCAUAGUUGAGGAAGAUGAUGUGCAACCAAUGAAGAAGAUAUAUUAGGAUGGAACUCGAGGCAUUUUGUGGAUUAGUAUCUAUAGUUUUUUGAUGCCUAUAAAGCAGAGCCAAGCCGCCGCCUCUCCGCCGAGAAAGAAGGAUCCCGAUCUCCGCCGUGGUCGACAAACAGCGCGAUGGGCGGAGCACCCAGCCGGUAGGCUCAUCCCCUUCUCUGAUCCACUCCGGCGGCGGCCAUCGUUGGAAAGAGAUGCAGACGAGAGGAAGAGAGCCUCCCCCAAGCUCUAUCUAGGUGAUGCACGAGCGACGACCACCCUUCCUGUUAUUGCCUCCAUGGCUGGCUGCUCAUCCCCAGGAACCUCCUCCCCUCUCACGUGCGCCACACUCUGGGAUUAAGUUGGAACACAGGUAUCUAGGGCAGGGCGUGGUCACAUUGCAGGCAGCAAGGAGCAGCGCAAAGUUUUCUCGGCCGUGCCCUGCAUCGAGGAGGAACACAGGUAUGUACAAAUCGAGGAGGAAAACAUGUAUUUUUCUGUUUGUUAUUUUCUAACUUUAUGCUUCACCUGUCCUGAAUUAUACGUAUACUCAUGUUGUCAGAUACAUAGGUAUACAUAUACAUAGCUAUGGAAGACACGAUUUACUGAUACAUAUCUGAAUGUUAUAGCUAUAAAGAUACCUGAUUGUUAUAGCUGAAGGUAACAAAGAAAGUGGUAUGGAUGAAUGGUGUCGUUUGUUUACCCAUGCUGUGGUUGAAAUCGUUGUUUGGUUCCCAGGUUGAACAAAUCUGACAUCUGUAAAUCAUCGAUGUUUUUCUGGAAGUAGUACAGUAGGUUUAAGAUUGGGCGAUGAUUCAUUCAUUCGACUACUUAUAAUUUUGGUUUCUACAAUUUCAAGAGGCUAACAAUUCCACUUGGUGUCUUAUCUCUAUGAUUCUAACUAUCAAAUAACAUUGUUUUGAAGUGUAGAUGUUCCGGGAUUGCUAGCUCCUGCCAGGUGAUCAGAAUUACUGCUUUGUUUAUUACUCAACGAUGUCGGACACUGGUUUCUCUAAAUAUCUUUUACAAGUACAGUUUCUACUUUUUUCUGCAGAAAUACUACAUGGUAGUCUUGAAGUAAAUACCAAUCAUGUGAUCCGAUAUGUUGUUUCAGAACAAUAGACCAUCAAUAUUAUUUUCGCCUCGGGUUCUAGAGGAGGACAUCUAAUUAAGAGAAAACUUUGGUGGGAUAGAGACAGAAGUUUGCUAUAUUUCACAAUACCCAAACAGAAUUUCAUUGCUGAUUCUUCUGCCCUGAACUUUGCCCAUGCCAAUUACAUUUUGUAGACCCUUUUUAAGGAAACUGCUUCGUUUACACCAUCCCAUUAGCAUGUCUAUUAGCUGUAAUGAAACUUAAACAGACACUUCUAGAAUUAGCAAGAAAAUUGAUGGUGGGAUCUAGCAAUGCCGGUAGUGCCUCCUUUAGGAUUACAAAAUCGUUAAUCCUAUCUUCGCUUGCAUGUGACUGAUGGUGAUGCUACACAAGUUCUGAAGGCAGUGCCCUCCCCUUCAGCAGGAGAUCUUGCUGGUUCUGCAUGGCACAACUGGAUUAAAUAUGCUACAGCAAGCGAAGGAGUUCAACGAUGUUGUUGGAAUCAAAGGAUUCAUCCUAACGAAAUUAGACGGGACUGCUCGUGUUGGAUGUGUGGUGAGUGUUCAUACACGAACUUGGAGUUCCAGCCAAGUUUGUUGGCAUCGGCGAAGGGGUGGAAGAUCUCCAACCUUUUGAUGCAGAAGCAUUUGUUGAAGCCAUUUUCCCAUAAAUUUGACCCAGUUAUUAGUGUUUCUCAUGUAACAAGAUUUUGGCUAACAUGCUACUCCCUCCGUUUCUGAAUAUAUGUCUUUUUAGGAAUUCUAAUAUGAACUACAUAUGAAGAAAAAUGAGUGAAUCUACACUCUAGAAUAUGUCUACAUUCAUCCGUAUGCAGUCCAUAUUCAAAUCACUAAAAAGACCUAUAUUUAGGAAUGGAGGGAGUAGAACUUGGUAGAAGCAAUUUUUUCAACAAUUACAGAUUUUUUGGUUCAGUCGUCGACUCGUCUGCCUGACUUGUUUCUAUCGUUGAUCCUAACUAUUCACAGAAA